AACAGCCCUAAAAAUGCCCUUCAGUCAAGAAGUGGCCGUCCAGUCUCCAAGUUCAGGCUGUUGUAUAAUUCUCCUUCUCUCUCCCUCAUUUAUUCUUUUCUUUCUUUUCCUCUUUCCUCUUACUCUAACUUCCUAGGUGGCACAGUGGUAAAGAAGCCACCUGCAAAUACAGGAGACACAAGAGACAGGGGUUUGAUCCCUGGGUCGGGAAGAUCCCCUGGAGGAGUAAGUGUCGACCCUCUCCAGUAUUCUUGCCUGAGAAAUCCCAUGGACAGAGGAGACUGGCAGGCUAUCGUCCAUAGCGUCUCAAAGAGUCAGACACGACUGAAGCAACUUCGCAUGCACACACACUCUAGCAGGGUACAAGGACCCCAGAGGAAUAUCCUCUGUGUCCAAAAAUGCUCAAGAAAGCUUAGCUUUGGGGCUAGCACACUGUCGUUUCCACUGACAUGGCAUCAUUUCAAAACAAGCCUCCAGGUCAAGCCCAACAUCAAAGAUGAAGAAUCGCUGCACCUGCGAUGAGGCCAUGGCAGAAUGUGGGUACUAGGAAGGCUGGAGAGAAAUAUAAUCUACUGCUGCUGCUGCUAAGUCACUUCAGUCAUGUCCGACUCUGUGCGACCCCAGAGACAGCAGCCCACCAGGCUCCCCCAUCCCUGGGAUUCUCCAGGCGAGAGUACUGGAGUGGGGUGCCAUUGUCUUCUCCAUAAUCUACUGCAGUCUUGAGUAAAGUUUUGUCAAUGUAUCUUUGAAAUACAUUCCUAGAAGUGGGAUAACUGGGAUACAGAUUAAGUACACGUGUAAUUUUUCUAAAUAUCACCAAAUUCUCCUUCAUAGUACUUUAAACAUUAAAAACAAAAUCAAGAAUCAAUAUAUGAUGUUGUUGGGACUUCCCUGGUGGUCUGGUGGCUAAGACUCUGUGCACCCAGUGCUGGGGGGCCUGGCUUGGGUUCUGUCCCUGGUCAGGGAACUAGAUCCCACAUGCGGCAACUAAAGAUUCCACAGGCUAAAAAAAAAGUAAAAAAAACACAACUAAAAAAAAAGGUUCUGCAUGCUGUGAGUAAGACCCAACACAGCCA
rnacentral:lncRNA from 1 species